UUUUUUUUGGUAAGGCAUGGGUCAUUUUGCUAGUAUAUAAGAAGAUAAACAAUACCUCCGAAUUUCUAGCGAUCCCCAAAUUUAUAGCUUUCCUACUGAAGUGCAGCCAGUGUGGCUAUCCUGCCACAGUAUCUCGUCCAUCUCCUCUCUGAACCGGGCCACCGCCUCCUCCGGCAGCGCGACGAACACCUUGAACCCUCGCCGCCGCCUCUCGUCCCCGGCGCCGUACGGCAGCAGGAAGCACGGCUGCGUGCUCCCGAGCAGCCGCCACGAUAGCGGGAGCACGGCGUCGGGCCCGCCCCACCCGAAGUCCACCUCCGAGUGCCCCAGCCUCCGCCAGUCCGUGAACGCGCUCACGCCGCGCCGCCCCGCCGUGAUGCCGCCCUCCCCGCGCCGCAGCUCCUGGAGGUCGACGUAGGACCGCACGUACUCCUCGUCCACCUCCCGCUUGCUCUUCCUGACCAGUGACGCCGUCUCCGCCAGCGGCCGCCCGGCGAGGUCGCUCGCGGCCAGCGCCACGUACACCGGCACGCACACGUUGCCCCAGUACCCCUCCGGCAGCGGCGGGUCGAGGAGACCGCUGAUGUUCAUGGAGUACACCAUCUUCACCGUCUCGUCGGGGGCAGUUUGGUUGGCCUUCACCUUGGCGCGCCAGAUGAAGGCGGCGAGAACCUCGAAGGUCGUGAACUUGACGCCGGCGUCGGCGGCGAGCCGCGCCCUCAGCGCCUCCACGCGCGCGUCGCUGACGUGGAAGCACUCCCUCGCCAGCCGCUCGUGCCCUUCUCCGUCGCUCGCCGCGCCGUACGGGCCAAGCCGCGGGAUGUCGUCGUCGGUCGCGAGCACGGCGUCGAACGGCGUCACCACCCGCGGCGGGUUCCUGGGGCCCAGGAGCUCCCGCCUGUCCCACACCGGCUCCGCCGCGGCCUCCGGCUCCAUCUUCACCGNNNNNNNNNNNNNNNNNNNNNNNNNNNNNNNNNNNNNNNNNNNNNNNNNNNNNNNNNNNNNNNNNNNNNNNNNNNNNNNNNNNNNNNNNNNNNNNNNNNNCGGUGAGCGCACGAGGAGGGAGGGCCGGUACGGCCACGGCGGCCGGCGAGUGGCGGGUCGGCGUCAUGGCGGAAGGGCUUUGGAGGAGGGUGAUCGGUGGUGGGAUGCGUGCUCUGAUGGGUUCUCGGAAGGUACUACGUAUAUUAUACGUAUGGGUUCUCGGAAGGUACUACGUAUAUUAUAUUAUACGUAUAUUAUACGUGCAUGAUGCGUAAGGAAUGUCGGAGCCGGCACGGAAAUACGUAGAAAAUCUUCUCGUGUGGGCGACUGUAAUUUAUCUCCGGCAGUUUUCUGCUGUUUUCUUCUGGGGAAGCAGAAGUGAUUAACCACGUCAUUUUCUGCUUCGUUUUGGAAAGUAGAGAUUAAAGUACUGUUCGGUUUCUCUCCACUCCGUCCACUUCACUCCCGGAGCGAAGCAGCCUAUAGCUCAUUUUGACAGAGCAGUUUACACCUAACUCCACAACUCUACGGAGUGAAGAGAUUCCGAACAGGCCUUGAGUUUCAUAAUUUUCUGCUUUGUUUGGGAGAGCAAAGAUUAAUAACGUGAUUUUCUGCUUCGUUUUCGGAAGCAAAUAUAUAUUAAUCACGUCAUAAUUUACGGCAUAUAAUAGCCGUCCAACCUCGCACCCGCUCCAACUUUCCUGUUCAUCUUCUCCCAAAAAAAAAAACCCUUUCCAGUUCAUCUCCCUGAAAAAAAAUCCAGUUUUUUAGGAGAAAUCUUAUGUUUAUUCAUAAAAAUAGCAACAUACAACAUAUAUGGCUUUUCUCUGAAACAAUCCGAAGAGACAGCAUACAAGAAAAUUUACAUAACCAUCGCUAAAGAAUCUAACCGUUGCCGACGUCGAAGCGUUCAUCGGAGGAGAGAAACAUAGGCCUCCAACUUCCAACUCAAGGCUAUCCGGUUCAUAGACAGAAGCUUCUGAAUUUAUUCACAAAACGGAAUCUUCCUACGACGACUCCAAAAGCAUGGAUUUUCAAUUAUAGUCAAUACACUUUAUGCUACUCUAAAAAGAGCAAUCAACUACAAAAAUAAAAAGAAAAAUUUGUGGAUUUAUUCAACUAUUUUCUUCGUGUCAAAAUAAAUAUAUAAAUUUAGUAUCAAGUUACUACAAAUUUAAUACUAAAAUAACAACACUUAUUUUAGGACGGAGUGAGUAAAUCCAAACCGUCCAACCAACUUGUGAGUUCAAGCUGCAACUUUCUAUAGAAAGGAAAAUAUAACUAAAUACUCCUGCUAGAGUAGAUCCCAUGUCCCCUACUUCCGAGUUUUCAAGGAGCCGAACUAGCUCACGAGAUCUCAUCUGGCCUUCCCACGUGGCUCCCGUGGGCGAUGGGGAGGGCACUUCAUCUGCCACUAUACCUGGCCAUGGGAAACCCGGCCCGACCUGACCUUGCCCACGGGUCGGGCUCGGGCCUUGAUUUUGAGGCCGUCGGGCUUAUAGGGUCGGGCUCGGGCCUGAAAAAACCCGACUUUACGCUUACGUCAGGUCGGGUUUAUCAUGCUGGGACGGACUUCUUCGGGCUCGGACCGGGCUUGGUCCAAAAACUAGGCCCGAUGGUCGGGCCAGGUCGGGCUCGGGCCUGAGUUUUGUACCAUUGGCUUUUUUAGGUCCGGUCCGAGGCCCGGCCCAGCCCAGCCCGAGUUUAGCCCAGGUAUGGCUGCCACCUCCAGCAGCCUGCUCUCCCUCCCUCCUCCGUCGCUACCGCCUAAGGACGCGGCCAGGCAAAGUCUGCCCGACGUUGGCGGCGGCAGGGCGUUUCGCCUUUGCGCCACGGCUGGGCCGAAACACCGCGAUGGCGAGGGUAGCGGUGGUGUGGCGGAUCCCUAUGGCUGAGUUUUUCGGGAUCGACGCCGCAUGGCAGGCUUCAAGUUGGCGGAUCGUGCAGGCGAGAGGAUGGCGACGGAUCCGGAUCUGUCAUGAUCUGGCGUCCAUCUUCAAUCGGACGGGCUAUGGGCAACGUGGGCAAGUGUCCUCGCGAUGGCAGCGAUGGCGUCGACGUGGUGGAGGCAGCGGUGUGGUGGCAGUCCUAGUGCUCUGUCGCAUUCAUUGCAGCAAUCUGCAUGAUCUGUCCUCCUAGAUCUGGCCGUCGACGUGUUCCGAAACUACUGUCGUAGAUCUUGCCCUAGGAUCUCUGGAUCAAAUAGAAUCUGGUCGUGCGCAUCCAUAUUAGCUUGCGCGGCUCCAUGAGAGCGGACGCGAAGCUCUGUUUGUUUCUUGACACCAUGAAACAUAUCAGUCUCUGGAUUUUCAUGACAUGGACAGCGGUGGAGAAAGUCCAAGUGGCUGGGAUCGGAGGAUCAAUAAGACGAAGGGAUGCUUGAAAACGAUGGGGUCAGACAGGUGUUUGAUAGAAGCAGCAGUGAUAAGUGGGAGCGAGAACACUGGAGGAUUUCGUUUUUGGGAUGCCACUCGGGUGCCGAGUCGUGACUUUCAUGGUGAAAGUCUGAGGUCUGGCCUUCAUUGGUUGUGCAUGGCAAGUGUCUUGCUGAAGGUAUUGUUUUGAGAGCUCGAACUUUCUUUAUGGUGAGAACAUAAGAUCUUGGAUCGGGCGACGACGACGUUUCUUCAAUGUUUCCUUCUUGAAGAUGGCGUUUUUGCAGACCAUUUUAUGUUUUUCGGGUGUUGUCUUUGGUAGUGGUUUAUGUGCUGCUGCUGAAAGGAGUUGCUCACUGUGAUGAUGUCUUUCUUUUUUCUUUUCUUUUCAGACUGUGUAUAUCCUAGAUGUCUUUGAGAUAACUUGUUGAUGCAGAGAUUUGAGUGCAAUUGAUAUCUUCAUGAUAUUAAUGUAUUCCCCUUUCCAAAAUGUACCCUACUUCCUCGUUCAUUGUUGGCCAACCGACUGCUCGAGUAGAAGUGUGCGGUGGAACCCAUCACCCUGACAGUUGCGGGUCAAGCCGUGGUGAAGUACUGACUUACUUCAAGAAGUACGCCGGGGCAAGUGGAAGUAGGCAGACACAAACUCGCACGCUUUCUUCAAGAAGUACGCCGACGGUUGCAAUGGCGCGGAGUUACACUCAGGUGGCGGCAGGGGAUUCCUUACCCGACGAUCGACUGUCGAGGCUCGAGACAAUAUAAGGCAAGGCGGCGCUCAGUGUGCAGUUCAUGUGUGCUGUGGUGCUCUAGUGAUGGAGCCAUGGAGGCAACAUUGCCCAAAAUAAAAGCUUCCCUGCUCUGCACUUGUCUCAGGCCUUGUAUAAUGCUAGAUGUUUAAGGAGGUGUUUAGAAAAAUAAACUGGAUUUUUCUGAAGCAUGGUGCUUAUUUCUACGGAAGAGACGCCUAACUAAACGUCUAUCCUGGAUAAAUAAAUACCGAUGUUUAAAAAACCUGAUUUAUUUCUCUAAACAUUUUCCCUAAGCAUCUUGCAUUGUACAAGGCCUUCCUGAAUGAUGCUUGAUCCAACGGUUUAUUCCAGACGAAAUCUAGGAGAGCACAAACGUAGAUUGCUGAGGUGCCUUGGUUUGUCUUGCCGUUGGUGCUAGUUCUAUUUUAGUGUAUGAUUUUCCAGUUUUAUCCCAGUGUUCUCUUGGUAUUCUUUUCCAACAGUAUGACGACAAAGCAACGGCUUGAGCAACCUUUGAGGUUUAUUGUAGCUUAUGCAUGUUUAGUCUUUUGUAUGCUUCUUUCUCCAGAUAUUUGGAGGGAAGUCGAGAUGCAAAUGAUGGAGAUGGAGACGACGACUUGGGAGGACUAAACUACAACUUCCAUUUCAUUUGGUUUAGGAAACAUUAAAAUAGACCGGUAGGGAAGGAAAAACUAGGGUGGAAACCAAGCUGAGAUCAAAUAUUCUUCCCUGCAAAGAUAGAUGGCACAUGCUAGGCCCAAAUGAGCACUUCGCGUGGCGUGGCUCAUGGCAGAUGCUGGCCAUUCGAGGGAUGUCAGGUGUGUCCUGGGGCACCGGAAACUAUUACGUACAUCCGGACGGAUUGUCCUUUUUCUGCCACCGUGUUGUAUCAUGUGAAAUGUUGGACAUGCAGAAGCACACUGAGGGCUUUUAUUCAUAUUUUAAUAUUUCAAAAAAUUCUGAAAAAAAAUACAUAGAUGAAAGUAUAAUGCAUAAGUGUUUAAAUUUUUAGAAAUAAAUACUCCCUCCGUUCCUAAANNUAAGUCUUUUAAGAUAUUUUACUAGUAGUCUACAUACGGAGCAAAANNNNNNNNNNNNNNNNNNNNNNNNNNNCUAUAUACAUCCGUAUGUAGUCCAGUAAUGAAACUUUUUUAAAGACUUAUAUUUAGGAACAGAGGGAGUACGUUCAAAUGAGGGCUAUGCAAAAAGACAAAUCUAAGGCAUUUUAACGCAUGAUAGUAUUCAUCCUUCCGGACCAUGAAUUUGUCUUUUUUGUACAGGUUGCGUUCCAAAGUAUUUCGGCCUGAAAUUUCACACACACACACGAAUCACACCCUUGUUUAGUUGUACAGUUUUUUUUAGACUUUUAAAAACCAAAAAUUUCGAAUUUUGUAUUUUUUUCAAAAAUUCCAGCCUCCAUGGAGGCCGGGUGCCAAAACGCCAUUCUCAUGAGCUACCCGCAAUCUAGAAUAAGUACAAAAAUGAGCUAAACCAGACAAGCCAAACUAUGGUGCAAUCAAAAGUUAUUAAGAAUGAACUAACUCGAUUAGCUAGUUUAAUAGAAGAAGAAAUUCUGAACAGAGGAGACCAAAAUUGAUAUGGUCAAGCAGCACUCAGGGAAAACAGAUAAGGGGAAACCAAAAAUAUGACCAUGCCAUUUCCCUUUUAGAAAACCUUGCAAGCAUGGCAGAAUCCUACAUCCUUCGGCACAUGCUACCCCUAGGUAGCUUCAAUACAACUGUACUGGAAAUGUUUUCUUUUAAUAGGAUGGCUCAAUGUUGACCUGGGAUAAAAGACGGCUCAAGGUUGUUCUGAAAAAAGUUGGCUUGGGGUUGUUCUUCAAAAAAAGAUGGGUCAAGGUUGUUCUUCAAAAACAGAAGUUUCAGGCUACCGCCGUUUCAUAUUCAAUUGUCCUAUAUAGAAAGGGUGGUUCAUGCUAAACAAAAUGCAUUUCACUGCAACCCCAAUCCUACGAGAUGACUGCUCUCAAUCUCUAACAUCAACUCGCCAUCAUAUAAUGUUCCCUACUCAGAGUUCAUCCUCGAGUCGCUACACUCUGACUGAAAGCAUGCCUAAUUCAAGAUACAGCCAGCAGUCACUCCAAUCCAAGUUCCCACUUCAUCUCCUUCCAGAUCAAUUUCAUGCAGAGAACCUUACAAGAUUACAUGCGAAGAUGGUAUAGUACUCUGAAACUUAAGAACCGUUGUUCAGUACAAGAGCCAGAUGUCUGAACUUAUUCCCCAAACAGAGUAACAUGGACACACGACCACCGCCAUGCCAUCCUUACGAGUACAAAGUAGCAGGGAUCCAGGAGAAAGCUUACCCUCAGAAAUCGGAGCAGC
rnacentral:lncRNA from 1 species